ensembl:lncRNA
AUAUAUAUAUAUAUACACACACAUUUACAGGGUUAAUGUUCUGCCUGCAACGAGAUGACUUCUACUUGCAGGGAGCACAGCAGCUCAGCCAAAUAAAAGACCACCAGUGACUGUAAACCCCUUCAGGAUGAUUCUGUUAUUUGUCUGAUGAGACAUCUUUGUUGUCUGCUGGUCACCGACAAUCGUACACUACUGAUGUGUCUCGUCAGUCAACUUCUGCCCCCAUUAUUUGGCAAAUUGACUCAUGAGUGCCGUGUGGUAACCGGAACGUAAUGUGGCACAUUAUUCUUUCUUCCUCUCUCCUUUUAUUCUCUGUGUUUUUCUCUCUUUGCGCCUCCUUCACAGUCUUUUAACGACGAUGUCAUUUUUUUCCCCCAGGUGAGCGUUCUGUGCAUGUAAGACUGAUGAUUUGAAAUAAAGUAAUUCCCUUAAAUGUUUUUUAAAAGCAGCGUUAGCCAUGACAUCAUGGCGAUUAUUGAUGACAUCAUUAUUAUGUAUAGGAUCCCUCAGUGAAUAAUAACCCGUGAUCUGUCAUUUCUCCUCUUAUUGUCACUGCAAGUUGUAAAGGUUAGGUCAUUUAUUUUAAUGUUUAAUGUGUCAGCUGGUAUUUCCAUGCACUACCGUCCCGGUAUAUUCCACACUUAAAGGCAAUGUUGUUCCGUUUUACUUCAGCUCACAAUCCUGGAAAAGUGCUUGUCAUGAAUAAUCUACAAAGUCUUAUUUAAUUGUGUUAGGGCCCUUCUUUGGGUCAUACUCUUCUAGAUCUUGGUAAAAUAAAACCAGUUAUAGAUUAUAGCAUUAUCAUAUCUUUAUUUUAUAAAAUAUCCAAAUCAGAAUUACAUAUCCUCUGUCAUAAAGUACUCCUCAUUUUAAUUAUUUAAAGAAAUCCGGCUGAAAUCAGACUAAAAAUGCGCUAUACAGUGAAGUAAAUAUGCAUUGUUUUGUAAUAUAUUUUCCUUCAUUUCAAUUUUGUAUUUACUAUCUUUUUUAACCGUGAAAAAUAGGUGGACGGCUUUAUGAAACAUGGGACACGGCAACAGAAAAAAGGCCCCACAUACAAAGACAUUUCUGUACAGCAUAUUCCCCAAAGAUGAAUAGCUGUUUGGUGGUAUGGUCGUGCAGAACAAUGAGAAGGAUUUCAGGAAAAUGGGCUUUGGGGUGGCAUUGUACGCAUACAUUGUGGAGGGGUGGUUGGGGGGGGGGUGUCCGCACGCUUGAGCGCAUUUAAAUUUACACAAACUCUCUAGGAAUGACAGUGAUAAAUGUUACACUCUAUUCUACAAUAUGUUUAAUGCAUAGGUCUGAGGAGUUAAGUUUUCCCCUCUGGUACGAGGCUGCUGUUGUAGUUACCACUAUAUGUUACAUCAGAUUCCCUUCCAUUAAAAUGCCAAGUGGCACAGUGAAGACAGCAGGAGAAUGUGACACUGAAUUUGUUUACCUGUCACCUUCCUCCAUCCUUCACCCCUCCACCCUCUUUUUGUGUGAACAUAAAUACGUGUGUACAAUUUUGUGCGUUUGUGUGCACGAGGUCAGAUGACGGAGGUUCGGUUGAAGCAAAACCGGAAGACGAAACGCAUAAGAAGACAAAAACUCACCAUCUUCUUAAUUAGUCUGUCGGCACAAAGAAUACAACACAUUUUCCUCCUUUUUUUCUGCCUUACCGAUCAAACUUAAGGAAAAGCAUUUUGGCACCGUAAGGAUGGACUGUCAGGCCUCUCAGCAAAAAAAAAUCUAUCCUUAUCACUGAGGAAAUUCAGCUGUGACUGGCCGCAUCGGGGUGUAUUUCCUUCGCUCUGCCUAUGACUGUCACAAAACAACCGGACCACUGCUGUUGACACACACAGAAAAAAAAUCUUUCAGCUCUCUGCCUUACUUUCUUUUUCUCUCUUCUCACACACACACACACACACUGGCAUACACAUACGUACAGAGAGACACGUGUGGAUUAUAAGCGAGUGCAUGUUGGAGUCUCUGACCUGCGUUUGAUCUCCUGUGAGACGGGUCUGCAUCAGUAGCUGAGUGUUCUUCUACUGUAAGUGUACCACUGUAAGCACGGAUAAGAUAGCGUGCAGGCUUGAUCUCUCUUAAGGAUAAGUGUUUUGGCUCACAGUGCACCUGGAUAGGCACGGAAACACCUGAGUGGAUGUUUUUAAAACGUACUGUAUACUGGGGUGCCACAGUAUAUAUCCGUGAAGCCACCGGGGAUUAUAUACACACACAUACACACACAUACACACACAGACGCAAUAACUUUUCAUGUUUGCACUGCAGGUCUCGGAAAGAUGUUUCUGAGAAUAUGUUUUAGGACGGGCUUUAAAUAAUUUCAAAUUCACGUUGUUCAAGCUUGCAACAUAACAGUAUUGAAUAAUAAAGAUAUCCUUCUAUCCGGUCCAUUCUAAACUUGACGGUGGAAAUUUCACCCAUAACAUGCGGCAGAAAUAUAUCCUUUGUGUUCUUUUCCGACUGUUUGUUCUAGUAACACAGGUUUUCACUCAUCUGAACCAAACAGCAUUACCAGCAAACAAGUGCAGAAGUGGGUGGAAGCAUAUUCUUUAGGUUUAUGACCCAUUCAAUAGCCUGGGCCGAGCCCAGCUCCUUGUGCGCUGUGGUUGGCCCACUGUAAAGCCUGUAAUAUGUAAACAAACAAGCCCAAACUUUCUCUGAUUUACAACAUUAGCGCAUCUUGGCCGGGGAUCCUUCACCGUCUCCAACAGGCCCGAGCCAGCCAGCAAUUCUAGUCGCAGACAGCUUGAGCACUUUCGAUUUUAUACCUCAGCAAUUUUUAUAGCGUCUUUAGCUCUGCACGCACCGACCACGCCAUUUCCUCAGGAAACCGGGAGCCUGCAAGAGCCGGAGAGGAAGAGGCAAAUAACAAUCGCACACACACGCCCACACACACACACAACGAAAACAGGUGUUCAUGAAGGAUGCUAAGUAGCUAGGUCAUGUGACAUGAACUGUUUUGCGCUGCGAUUGGACCCUGAUGCAGAAUGCGCUGCGCCUGGCUUCUGAUUGAAUUGGCUGAUGGUACAGCUCUGUCUCAGUGCUUCCCACUCAGAUUAAGUAAGGUAGAGUAGCCAAGCCUCUGAGGGUUUUAGCAUCUGUGCAAGGUUGCUGUAACUGAUACUGUGAAGUUAUAAUUAAAGGUUCCAACUGAGGGAGCUUGGUUUGAUGUAGUCCACACCUUACCCCUCUCCUGCAGGAUAACUAGAGGAGUAAUGUGGGAGGCAGGAGAGCAGCCGAAAAAACAUUCAUUACUGUCCAUGAGCCCGUUCAGAUGUGAGCUUACAGGACUGGAAAAAAGAGGCUCCAACAGAUCAAUAUUUAUAUUUAUCUACAAUUCAACUAAAACAUGUAUCCGUUGGUAUUUCCUAGUGGUCGAACAACAGCUACAGCAUGAGUGUAAAAAAACACAGUACCAUCAAACAAUGGAUAAGUGCUACUUAGUCCCUAUAAUUGCAUUUCAAAAUAGACAUUAUUUCUCUGUUCUCCUGAUGCAGACUUGGAGCACUGAUAUGCAACUCUGAGUCCAUAUUUCAUCACCAUGUGUACAAGGUUAGAGUUUUCAAUUGCCACACAAUGUCUCCCAUUUUUCAUUUACCUGGUGGAAAAUCGGAUGCGACAGUUACAUUUUGACAGUAGAGAAAAUCUACUGUUUGCCAUUAGAGCUAAUGUCAUGUUUCUGUGCUAAUCCCUCAUCAUUUUUGGGCCUCAUUGCCUAUUUUUCUCUAUGAUAUUAAGUAUUCAAAGCUCAUUUACAUUCUUAUUUUUCAAUUUGCUGCUGCAGUAGUUUAAUUUAUUCCAUAUAAUUUCUUUUUCUGAGAGGGACAUUAAUCAUUGACUGUACGUUUUAGUGCCUCUGGGAUUUUUUUAAUCAAUAAAAUAAAGGGAUAAAAGACUCAGCACUGUUACAAAGGCUGUACGGAGGAUUUGUUUUCUUCAGUUGCUUCUGUUUUACCAGAUCUUUAUGUUUGUUCAAAUUCAAUUAUCAGUCUUAGUGCACCUUAUUAUUCUGUCUCGUUGAUAAAUGUGUCCAAGUUCAUUAUCUCUUGAUAUUUUGGCCCCUGGAGAACUUUCAUAGAAAGUUUCUUUUUUUCUAUUAGUCUUUCUCAAUAUUGUUUGUAAAGCAGCGACAAAAGCAUGUCUCAGAAAUAACCCUCAUAUCAAUGAGGGUCUCCCUGCAACGCUUCUAGUAGUUCUAUAUAUUUAUGGUCUGUUAAGCUGGGGGGCCUAACCACUUUCAUCCUCUUUCUUCCUCCCUUUUCUUGUUGUUUCUCCAUGCUUUCACAUUCAUUUUAUGCUUGGCUAUUCCGAAGGCUAUCAGUGUAUUAAUGCCAUGGCUUAAGCCAAACAGCCUCGGUGAGAUAAGCCUCCGGGUCGUCAUGUGGCUGUUCACAGUUCAUACACUGCUUUCCCCCCUUAGUUGGAAACCCCAAAUCAUUUCAUAAAAUUAAUCUGUUUUUGGUGUGUGUGUGUGUGUGUGUGUGUGUGUGUUCACAUUUUUGUGCUCCUACAUUUUCACCCCAAAAUUUAAAGAAAAUAAUAAGUUGCGUGUGUCUAGAGGACACGGGGAAUAGCACAUCUUCAUUAGUUAUUGACUUGUUUGAGAGGCUUGACCUUCCAUAGGUGUGAGGCGGGGGUUUGAUCGUCGGGGGUCUGCGGAGAUGGAGGGGGUCUGUAAACUCUGAUACAUAAUGCUGUGGGCUAUAAUACUUUGUGCAUGGUUGCUCGCAGGCCUGCUAAUCACAAGGAAGAGACCCCGCUGUCUCACUCCAUAAACCUGGCCCAGUAAGAAGACAGCCACGGGGGCACAAUGUCACUUGUAAAUCCCAAAUUAAACUCAACUGCCCAAAGCUCCCCGGCGUAAAAACACCCUCACCUCCAUCCCGCCUGCCCAUGUCUUUCUCACAGCCUCGCGGGCUGUAAAAACAGGAACAUGGUGCUGAAAGGUGUCCAGGUGUCAACGGUGUCAAGGUUGUGGAGUGGUCAAUUUGUCCGCUUCUUGGUCACGUUUGGUUUUAUGCAUGUAUUUCAUGCUUGCGGCUGUGCCCAAUCCCCCAUGCAGUCUAUUCUGAACCCUUCAUCCCCUUCUUAUGACGAGUCAUAAGUUUCUGUUUACAAAAAUAAGUUAUGCUACAACAAAUACAAACCACUUCCACGUACAUUUUCAUCAGAUCCCUCCUCUUCGUUUUUUCAAAGAUUGCAAAAUAAAUGUAUUUGUAUGCACAGUGGCUAGUUUGAGCUUGCAACAGGGGAGGGGAAAGGGUCUCCUUGAAGGCAAUCUGUUCAUUAAGAUAAUGUGUUAGUUCCAAUUAAACUAACAUUAAAACGAUCCCCAUAAAGAGUUGGAGUCAGCGUUUUUCCUAACUUGCUCUUUUAAUUACAUCGUUCCUCUCCUGUCAUUAAGGAUAUUAAAAAUUCAUUAACAAGAAUAGUACUGCAUCACAGCCACAAAUCAGAGAGACUUUCAUCUCACGUUGUCAAAAGAUUAUUGCCAUUAGUGAUUUCAUCUGAAAGGCGUUAAGUUCUCCUUAAGCGAUGUUUCAGGACCUCCGUGUCAACAGGUUACCGCGGUGGUAAACUGUCAAGUUGUUAAAGCUUUGCAUUUAUUUGUAAGGUAUUUUAAUAUGCGAUUUAAUGGAAAAAGAGGGAGACAUUUAGAUGAUGAAUGAGCUUUAGCAACAUAGGGCUUUAUGUGUUGUAUUUAUCCAUUUAUUAAAUGUACAUUUAUUUGCAGUGCAUCCAGCAUCCCCUCUAAUGUGAUUCCAUUGCCGGCUGUUAUGUUUUCCGUCAGUUAUAUUUCUCGCUCCUAAUUUGUUUUCAUCAAAUGUGUUUAUGGCUAGCCGAAGCUGUUUUACAGCUUCCCUAUCGAACCGUGCUGCUGCUGCUGCUGCAGGAAAUGAGUCUUUCCAUGAAUAACGUAAGCCUUGCCAGUGUGGUCCUUGCCAGGGAGAAGAAAGGAGGGAAACUAAAUCUGCAUCUCUGCGAUAUCAUAACUGCAGAUUUAUGCUGCACAGUUUUCAACAGAUAGCAUAUGAAGCUGACUUUCUAGUAUAAUCAACACCAGUGUGCAGCCCAGGCUGUCCCACCUAAUGAUGAAGAUUAAACAGAUAUACAAACAUUCACACACACAUGGGACAUGCAGCAGGUGUUAAUGUGAAAAUAAUUAUGGGUUUGGCAUGAAAGUGAAGAAUAAUUAAAUGAAUAAAUGUAAAACAACAGCUUUGAAAUGUUUUGUUGGCACAGAAAUGCUUUUGUGUCCUAAAUAUUUCCCUUGUGGUAUAUUUGAACACCUUCAUGCACAUCUUCAGUGUUAAGAAAAUGAAGCAGAAGUACAUGAGAGAACCAUGGGUGGAUAGUGCACAUUUUGAUGUGCAUGUCAGACAUGUGCUGUAAUGGCUGAGAACACAGACAUUACUUUUUUACAUUUAUUCAAGGGAUGUGAGUAGAUAUCAAAAAUACUUUUGGAAAAUUUUAAAUAAACACGAAUCUCCCACCAUUUUUACAAAGUUCUCUUGUUCAGUUGGUCGGAAUCAGGACUGGGUUUCUAUUGCUAUCAACAGCUUAUACGUUGAGUGUUAAGUCCACAUUCUUUGUGGCUACCACAUAUUUUCAAACUAAUGACUUUUUAAAUACGGCUGCACCAAAACUACCUAAAAAGUGUUAAUAAGUAAAGACGUAAACGAAAAACUUACUCAAAAUAUGUCAUAUACAGGGACUUCCAAAAAUAAGACUUUUUAUGGCCGAUAUGUAAAACCCAUAUGGUUCAGUUAGCUAUGUAAUAGUCAGGGGUCGCAGUUAUAAACGCGUAACUACCUGACUUAUUGGAGCUGGUUUGUGACCUGUGACCUGCAACCUGCGUUAACUUACCGCAUUAAGAUGCAUUCAUCUGAACAAAUUAUUGUAAUAUUUAUUAACUUAAUAUAAUGAACUGAUGAACUGCUGGUACAAAAAGUGUUCUGCAUAAGUGUAUUGUAUAUAAUUAGAAUUAUAUUGUAUCGAACUAACAUUCCUGCUAUGCAGGACCAAUCAACUGAAUUAAUGCUAAAUACAGUUUCAGUUUCAGUUUGACACCGACCACGGACACAUUUGGGCACAUAAUUCUCUUUCAGGCAGAAUGACCAGUGUGUGAACUUUCCACGUGUACACUUCACUGACAGCUCAGAAAAACAAGAGCAUAACGUCACCUCUUUAUUUAUAUUCCAUCAGGAGAUGCUGAAAUAUUGAUAUUAACCUAAUUAACUGGCAUCAGAGGGGAGUCUUGUUUAGUUUUUCAAUUGGUACAAGGGUAAAGUAAACUGGAGAUUAGACUAAAAUAUUCACCACAGCAGAGCAAUAAUGUAUGAAGUUAUGGAAUAAAAUGUAUUUUUCAUCUAUUUGAAUCCCCUUUACUAUCUGACAAAUAAAAAGACACGUCACUGUGCUAAGGUGCACAUUUGUUGUUGAAUUCUGGACAGGUCGGCUGGUUUUACUCAACCGCAAAACACACCACAACUGCACCCCCGCCCAACAAAUGCACUUAUUGAAUUGCAUCACGUGGCCCUGUGGGGCUCCCAUUACUCACGCUGCCUAAUCUGUAAUGACUGUCUAUCAUCCACCAGCCGAGCCCAGAUGGACUCUCUCAUUGAUUAUACUCCAACAAAACAAAAAAUCCAGUGGUCCAACACAAUGCUGAUUAUGAGAAACUAUCUCCACAUUCCCCUUCACUUUUCUCCAAUAUCACUCACUCUAUAAUCCCAUUUAUGUAUUUCAGCAGAUCUCCUCUCCCUCAGAAGAAUAUGCUAUUGAUCAGGCCUGAAUGUGUGUUUUUACGUAGGUUUGUGUGAGACGUGGACGGGCAGCUCUGAGCCUGUUUUUACAUAGCGACCGAGCUCUUAUUGGCUUCGGUGUGGGGACCCAUAUCCCAGCUGUGUACGAGAUCCAUCAACCUUGACAGGUCUAUUGUACCACCACCCUUCACAGGCUCUGACCAACGACUCGCACUAAGAUAUCACUUUCAAUUAGAAAAACAUUCAUGAGCAGGGAUGGAGGUGGGUUUGAGACGACCAAUGCAACAGGGGGCCCACAGGGCUGCUAAUUUAAUCUUUUUGCAUUCAAAAUGAUAUCAGAGCAACGACAGGGUUGAGAAAGUUUCCUUCUCAGCUAAAUAACCGAUUUUUCUCAGAAAAUCAAUUUUUGCCUUUUUUGUGGAAAGGACUUGAUAUUUUCAAGUUAAUUGUGUCAGUUCAUCCAUAUACUGCUCAUCCUGUUCAUGGUAUGGAUUUUAUAUAAAUAGUGAAUUUAUUCACCUCAACGUCACAAUUUAGUUUAUGGAUUGAAGUUCAGCUUUUCCGGUCAUCUUGUUUUUUACCAACCACAAGUGGCCUGACAGGCUGGAAAAAGGUACCGAACACUGGACAAGACACUAUUACACUAUUAGGAAACCAAAAUGUAGAAGUUAACUUCCAUGAACUGAAAAUACACUGCGAAAGAGUCAAAGUUGUCAAACAAAAACAUGGACAACUUACAGACCGAACAACACCAUGGUGGCGACCUGCCGAUCAAAAAGUGUAGGCGCACUGAAGCAAGCACUUGCUUUAUGGUUUAUUGUCUUUUAAAUGAAAGUCGUUGCUGUUUCGAAAAAGACAUAUACAGUAAGUACAAUAAAAGUUUCUUUCUACUGGCCAGCUUUACUUCUCAGACAGGGUCCAGACAAAAGCCCAUUUCAGUGUCCAUUGGGGCACUAUGCACAUGUACUAUGAACUACUAGAAAUGCCGUCUAAUUCAAAUAUACAGUUAAUAGCUGCUGUUCUUUUUGUGAUUAUGAACUGAAAACAGCUGUUAUAAUAACACUUUUGUUUUAGCAUUAUGAGUUUAAUCUUUAAUAAUGAUGACAGUCAUAAUGCUAUUAUAAUAAAAGAUUGCUGUACUGUGGCUCCGGUGUCAAUGAUCGAGUCAAAGAGGCUCUUAUGCUCACCGUGCUGUUUAGGCACCAGUAUUUCAAAUCCUGCUUAAGAACCAAUGAAUGUGCUCCUGAGCGAUAUUAGUUGCAGUGUCUACAAAUCAAAGAGAGAAGCCCGAUCCAAAACUAAACAAAUAAAAAGGGUCUCGUGGUCCAUGGAGGACCGAAGGAUUUCAGAAUUCCAAAAAUGAAUGGGUAUUUGAAUGAUUGCUGCUGUGACAGGCUUGCUGUGAUAGAAUAACACAUUCUGUUGAACAAAUAGGCCCUUGAGUGCCGGCUGGUCCCAGGGGUCUGUCUAUAGCCCCGAGGCUUUCACAGAGAUGUGCUGCUCACAGCAUGGCUGUGCCCUAACACAAACACACACACACACACACACACACACACACACACACACACACACACACACACACACACGCAGACCAUGUUUCUGUAAUGUAUGGCAGGAAAACACACUGUACUCUACUGUCUGUGUGUGUAAAUACUAAACAAAGAGAAUAAGUGGAGACAAAAAGAGAGAAUGAAGGAAAAAGGGGAGCGGUCUUGGGAGUGAAAUUGAUGCGACUGUGUGGCAGAAUGUGACUCUCUCCAACAGACUACGUCCAAGAAGAUUUCCUCAAAUGCAAACUAUUUUCUGAGGUGUUACUGUUGAACUACAACUUUUGUCUUUCUGGAAACAGAAUCAAAAUCUGAAGUCUCCCGGUUUCGGUUGUUGCAGCAGCAUGUUAGAAAACGCUCCAGCGGGGCAAAAAGCACUGGCGCUCAGCGUUGUUCACUGGUGCCACACGAGACAUGUUGCUGGUGUUGUAAUGGCAUGAAUCCUACACUGCAGCCCGGCAGCCCCACACAGCACGCUCUUUGAUGAUGUCACAGGGUUAGAUAGGCGCCAUUGUAGAUAUGGGCUUCCAGGGAGCGACUACACACUGUUGUAGCAUCUGUUGAAAAAGAAACACCCUCCCAAGUCCCUUUGACACAGCUUUUUUUUAAAGGAGCAGUGGACAAAGCCACAGUUUCUUCUGUGAUAUCCUGUUAAGGCUGUUCUGGAGCCAGCCAAGCAUGGCCGUCCUUCAGAGAGCUGGGGCAACAUCAUUCAGCUUCCUCCUUGUGAUCCAAGGCACACAACAAACCCUGUGGUCCACAGCUCAGUGGCCAAGGAAAAAGACCCGUCACACAAUGUCUUUUACCCAUACGCACAUUCAGAGGCACGCACAUUGUGCAGCAGCCACAUUUGGACAUGCGCUCGGCCAUUCACAAGCACAUGCAUGCAAAUCACUUAUAAAAGGGAUUUUUAACAUUUAUAACAUGUAUAUUUUCCUUUUUAAUUUUUUUGUGACAUUCUUCAAGUUCACAAAAUUCUUCUUUAUCUUCCGCGGUUCAUCAUAAUGGCCCACCAACCUGUUACCUCAUCAUUAUGCCCCAAAAUAACAAAAGGCUGGAUGAUUUUCAUAUUCAGCAACAAAGGAAAACAAAAGUCUUUGUGCCGAAUGAAAAUGGAGAACAUACAUGUUGCCUCAAAUAGACCUCUGUUUCCACUGAGCUCAAUUAGACAAGUGCUAACUGUAUAAUUAACACCCCCAACAGAGUAAUCAAACAGAAUCUAAAUUAAUGGCAAUGUUGACGUCUUGAGGAAAGGGUUUGAAUGGUGGGGGUGGACGAAAUACAGAAAGGAUAUCUCAGGGGCAAACAUGAUAGAAUUACAAAAUGAGCAGCUUGCAAACUGUCUCAGCUUUGAUGAAGUAACGUUUAAUUAUCCCCCUGGUGGAAGAGGUCCCCUAUUGUCUAAAGCUAAUUUGUCCCUUUUGGCUAUUUCCCUACCCCAGAGGCCUGUCUGUCUCAGGUUACCCCGCCUCCUCCUCCUUACCAGCCCACUGCCACCCUGGGUAUCCGAAUCUCCCUGCUCCAAAGACAACCAUAACCCUGAGUUAGGCCCAGACAGUAUUUUGUUUGUUAAGUGUAGCCCAAAGAUCUGGGCCCUUGGGAAAAGAUGAAAGGACGAGUGCCGCCUCCCUCUCAGGGAAAGGAUCAAGCAGGUCAAUUUCCUCUGACUUUGUCCUGUCUUGGAGUUUGUAUUCCCUCCAUCCACAAAGGCCACCAUUGGACUGGAGCGGAGGCUCACUCUCUCUCAGCUGCCCUGUCUCUGCCCCCAUUUGAUUCACAGAAUAAUAGAUGGCAAUGCAUGCCUCCUAAGCACAACUCAACUUGAAACAAGAGAUAACACUCCUUGGGAAGGAAUGGUCAUCCAAAUAGAAACAGAUACUGUAGAAUUUAACACAAAGUUGUAGUGGGACACUGUGAAAACAAGAUUAUUGUUGAAGAAAACAUUCUGCGGGGGGUUUCGGAUCAAAUGUUCUGAAAGGUUUUUGUGUUUUAUGUCAAACAUUGUUAGCCAGUUCUGUUCAUUUUUCCUAUUUAGCCUUGAACAAUUUCUAACGCGCCCAGAUAAUAAAAUUAAACAUAUUCACAUUAGGACUGACAUUGGAUCCAGUUCACAUUUAAAUGCAAUUUAAAAAAUGCAUAUAUUUGCAUAGUGAAUUAAAAUUAAGAUCUAAUUAUGCAAAUAAAUUAUCAAAUGCGACAGCGGAUGGUUUUCAAUUCAGCUAAUAUCUAAUUUUGUGAGACAAUAGUUAUUUGAUGGUCCAAACGGAAUUGCAACCAUUUUGCUGCAGAGUCAUACUAAGGUAUUAAAUAUUCAGGUGGUAUUUAAUUACAAAGAAAGCUUAUAAAUUACAAAUAUUGCUUGUUAAAUACAUGAAGACAAAUCCCCCUCCCUAAAGAAUUACAUUUCCUUGAAACAUACUCCUUAAUUCAGUCGUUUUAAAAAGAAAGCAGUAUCAUGAGCCGCCCUAAAAGUUCAUGUGCAAUUAAAUAAAAUAUAAUGGGUUUACAUAAUUUUAAAAAGAUAACUAUAAUGCUCAUGGUUGAUAAGAAAAGUAAAGAAAUCAUUAAAUGUAAGGUCCUACCUCCUACUGCGAGUCGAGCCCUUUUAAAAUCAGAAUGGGGCAUUAAUAGAGAAAUAUUUAUGUGUUUGAAGCUUUCUUUCCACAAGACAAGCAUGUUAUUUUCAUUAUUAAAUGAAACUUGAUAGCACAGCGCUAACUGAACGUUUAAUCAACAUUUCAAAGAAUUUUAAAGUGGGUAAACAUCUUUUAAAUAUUAAUUAUGGCAGAGGAGGGGAAGCGGAUGCACAAUUCCCAAAAGAUCACCGCUCGGAUGAACAUCGUCUCGAACAAAAUGAGAAAAACUGCAGCCAAACUGAACAAACAAAUCCCCAGAAUCACACCCAAUGUGACACACGGUGAGCACAGAGGGUCAGCACAGAUAAGAAAUCCUGUACCUAACAUGAAUUUGUAAUGAGCGGGACGCUUUCUUUGACGAAUGAUGCCUCCAGCAGGGGUCCUCCCUUUUACAGGAAGCAGUCAGGGUGCCUGAGCACAGAUCUAUAGUAAUCUACAGUUUUGUAUGUUCAUGAGUUUUAAUUAGUAGCAAUUUAAAACUAUGCUAUUAAAACCAAAGAUGCAUCUCGUUGGUGGAUGGUUUUUAUGUCGAGGACGUCUGUUGGUAGAUUGGUGUGAUUAAAAAUCCCAUUAGGAUAAGUACAACUUUUAAGUAGCAAGGAGAGAAAAUGUAACUUUCACUUAAAGACUCAGAAUUUCCUCCAUGUAAGCGUGGAGAUGAACAACAGUUGGUUAAUGCACUGGCCUCUCACAACCUUCGCUUCAGCAUUAAUUAGUAUGUAUGAAAUGGAGUUGAUUUAGGUCAAGAGAAGGAUACUUGUGUGUGAAUGUGUAGUUGCUUCUUCAAAAAGCUAAGUUCUCCAAAAUCUCUUUGAAUGAAAGCUGCUUUUGCAUUAUCUAUUUUCUGAAUGCUUCUGACGCAGUGCCAAUUUAUUUGUUCCAACUGAGAAAUCAAUCCUCUUUAUCAGACACAAACAGGUUCCUAUGACUGAUCCACGUAUCAGAAAUAAUCUAAUUCUAAGAAAAAUCUUAAAGCAGAAGAUUAAAUAAUCUUUAGAAAAAGAAUCUGAUGUGAUUGUCAGUGUAAAAUUACAAUGUGUCAGAAAUAAUAAGGUUUUCCCGUCUCCAUCAUUCACUUCUCUCCUUCAUUCUUGCAUAGUAAAAUGUGAUUGCUGUCAUAUCUCAAAGAAAAGCAAACUAAUAUACUCGAAACGUCAUUUGCCCAAUCAAAGAUGUUUUUUAUUGCAAUAACGCAAAUAGCUUAAAUCCCUGAAGAAAUGUUUGACUGUGGCCACACAAAAUAACAAAUUCUAUGAAUCGUUUGUAUUUUUAUUUUAUCUCCCUAAAUGCUGCUCAAAAUAUAAAAAUUAAAUGUUUCAUCAAACAACGGUUUGAUGAGUGAAGUUUAGGAACACUUAACUGAACUCAUUACAGUAUUUACAAUUGCCUCAAUAAAUACUAAGCUGACGGAGUAGCGGUGAUGUAAAUACACCUCUGCAUGUCGUUUUAAAUUUCAGGUGUUUUAAACCUGAUGACUAACAUCACGCAGCCGGGCGGAGCAUGGAGGGGAGGUGGUGGAUGAAACAGGUGGAGGGUAAUGAAGAGUAUCACGGGGUAAUUGAUGACCCUUCCUCGGCAUUGGGGAUAUUGUUCCAAGGCUUAAUCUUUGUCAUCAAAGAGAGAGAGCGAGCGUGCAUGAGAUGGAGGGGCAGAGAGCUGGAGCCUUACUGCGAACUCUCUCUCUCUCUGUGUCUCUCUGUGUCUCUCUCUCCCUCCUGAGGGUCAAGUAAACAGCCUUAGCAGGGACAGCUCAGGGGCUGGUGUCUGACCAGCCAGGCUGAAAAUGGCCCUUGUCCGUUUCUUGCCAUGUAGCAUUUCUUUCCCCAGCUGUUUGUCCUUUUGUCACGGACGCAGCUUGUAAUAAGAAGAGCCAACAUAUUUAUGGAGUGGCCGACCUCGCUGCUACACGGGCCUCUUAUCUGCCGGGCACAAAACGGCUUUGUUACUCUUUUAACAAUUCACAAACCCGCGCGGUGGCGGAGAGGGUUGUUUUUGAAGGGCGGCGGGUGUUUGGGAGCGUGCGCGUGUACAGCGGGCUGGUUUAAUGGCGUGCGGGUUUGUUUGGAAGCAAGGAAAUAGAAGAAACAGUUACAUUUUUCAUCUUCAAUAAGAGUGUUGGAGGGUUUUCUCUUGAAACUCUGACUCGCCUCUGACCUUGGGGCCAAUUAGGGUGUUCAUGGCGAGUGAUUUUUUUUUUUUUUUCUGUGUGCGGUGGCCGUCCACUCAGCAACAUUUAUGAGUGAUUAGUUAAGCUUCGCCUGAGCUCUAUGAAGGACCUGCGAGGAGUGACAAAGCAACAUUCAGAUGCUUCUGGUAAGGGGAGUCCAGGGUAGGCUUAGGAGUGAACUUUGGUAAAAAAAAAAGAAAUGAAUGAUGAUGAAAAGAACAAAGGGGUCCUUUUACACGUCUAGUGAGUGUGUGUGUGUGUGUGUGUGUGUGUGUGUGUGUGUGUGUGUGUGUGUGUGUGUGUGUGUGUGCUUGUUAUCAAGAGGCAGCCAGGGGAUUUCCAUUUAAGCAAGUCAGCAGUAGGUUAACAAGAUACAUUGUGCAAUAUAUAAACGGUGGAGGAAGUACUCAGAUCCUGAGCACCAACAGUGUUUAGAAGGUAAAAAUACUCCAUUAGCAGUAAAGGCCUUGGAUUCAUAAUCCUGUAAAAGUACAGUAUCAGAAAAACACAAAAAGCAGUAGUUCUAAGAUUGUUUGAUGUGAUGGAAACGUGAUAUUUAUACGUGAUUUUCUACACAGAGCCAAGUGGGGACUCUAGCAGACCUUCAUGAAUGGUAAAUUAGAGAGGAAACAAUAAAAAUCAAUGUUGUGAUACAGAAAUCAGUUUUCAUUGGAUUUUUUUCUUAUCUGUAAAUGUUGGAAAUACAAUCAUCAUUUUUUUAUGAACCUUGAACAGACAAACAUGUCUUUUACCCUGUACUGUUUGCUAUUGUGUUAUUCUUGUCAAAGGACUACAGAUGCAAAUCAGACAUGUUUGAAUUCAUGGUCCCUUUUAUAUAAAAUAAAAAAAAAAAAACAUCUGAGACAUAAAUACCACUGCUCGAAAUGUCCAACCAGACACAUUUCCCUAUAGUAAAAUAUAUCAAUACAAUAUCAUAGUGACUCAAAAUCUCAAAAUCUGCAGACUUGUGCUCUGAACUGCCUAGAUGUGUCUUCUUGGACACAAAUAUAGUUUGUGUUCCAAAAAUGCCCUCUUCUUAUUUUUACUUGAUCUUACUGCCAAACAAUAAUUAAACAUCUCUCUCCUCCCUCACAUCAUUUUUGCUGUGUGUGACAUCUAAAUUCCAGGGCUUUUAUCAAGGUUAAAGAGUCGGCAUACGACCUUGUUAAUCAAUCAAAAGAUAACAUAAAGGCAGUUGUGUUUAAUGAAUACUGUUGAAUAGCCUAAAUGCAUUUUAAUCCUCUCCAUCAGAGCAUGAUUACAAAGGAUGGGUAUAUCAAGUGGUCCUUUCAUUUGGUUAACAUGAUCAAAUUGACUCCCGUGUCAUGAGAGAUGACACCAGUAGUAAUUAAUUUCUCCAUUAAGGGUGGCCGAUGUGACAGCCAUGCACAAACAGAGCAGAGUGACAGGGCGGACGCCAUAACUUCAGCAAACUGAGACAACCCAACUGCAGAGGAGGAGCUACGGGUAAUCACAUUAUCCGUCUGCCGGGGAAAGCAUUGUUCAUUAAAAUAAAACAACACAAUGUCUGCCGCUGCAUUAUCAGCAUAUUUGCAGAUGCUGCAGAUUUCUUCGUGGCCAUGCAUUUACAUAUAGUAAUGAACUUUUUAAAAUUCAUUCCAAAUUAGUCAAGUGAGCUAUUAAAGCCUGUGGGUAUUUCCACCAGGGGCCUCGCUUGCUUUUAGAUGUACAGUUUCUGUUUUUCUCUUUUCUUUCACCAAACUAUUGAGCAAAGAAAAUGAUUUAUGACAUGAAAACAGAGGUGCUUUAAUGAUGACGAUGGUGUUUAUUUAGCUGUGCAUUGGAAAAAGGAAAGCCUUAGACGAUCAGAUCAGCAGGGAUAUGAACAGAUUGAUUUUAACCUAAAUCUCUCCUUUUGUAGAUUAAUACCUACAUAUUAAAUGACUUUUUAUUAUUUUGGUAUCGGCUGAAACACUUUUGUUCCGCAUUCUCCACAACCUUCCUGCACCUCAUCCUUUAACGCAUAUCAUUUGUGAUUAUCAAAGAGCUUGUUAGAUAACUGCAUAUCUAACCAUAAACGUGUGAGGCUGCCUCUAUGUGUGUGUGUGUGUGUGUGUGUGUGUGUGUGUGUGUGUGUGCUGUCUGGUCGCCUACACGGGGGAUUUGAUAGAAAGUGAAACCAACAGUUUCUCCUCCAGCGGCGAGACCCGGGGGUUUCUCCCAUGGAGGGGGUCGAUUGUCCAGCAUUUUCACCACAAUGCUGCCGUAUGGGGAGCAGAAGGAUCAGCCGCUGGCUCCCCGCCAGAGCAAAGGCAAACACCGCACCACAUAUGCAUAGAAGUGGUCAUUUGGAGCCACCGCUUUUUACCAUAACAACAGAUGAAACACAGGAGUCACUUUGUUUCCUCUAAGAGGCAUUGUUCACAGGGCUCACCACCUCUGAAGCGGGCUCCGUAUGAGGCAGGAUAAACUUAGGGGCCCAGGCCCGGGUGUAAAUAACAAAGAAAACCUCACUUACAUGCCUCCUAAAUCCUGUCGAAAGAUGAAAAGGGAGAAAGAAAAAAAAAAAACACUCCAUUUCCUCAUCUCCUGGAAAUGAGCUUAACACAAAUACAAAUGAAUUUAUUUCAGUGGCUGUAAUGUUUGUGUGUGUGUGUUUGUGUCUGCGUUUUGGGGCUCUGUGCUAUAUCAUUUAGACAUCUGAAGAAAUUUACAAAACGCUCCGGGGCCUUUACAGUUAUUCCACAAUAUUCCACAAUAAACAACAGCAUGUAACCAUAUUAGUGGAUUUUAGCAGCAGCCACAAUCUAAAUGAGCGCUGUUUUAAAAAAAUCGGUUGUCAAAUUUGAUAUUGGUCUUUAUUGUUUAUAUAUGAAUUUGAAUUAAAGAGCAUCGUUCAAACGACUUUUACAUUGGAUUUGAGUUGAGCUCACAUACGUAGUUCAAGUGUCAUCUUGCAAAUGUGCAAUGACCAACCGUUCUUUCUCGUAUAGAAAUAUGUUCAUUUAUACAUAAGCAUUUCUAAAGAGCUGAAUGUUAACUGGCCGUUAUGGUCAAUUUUCUUACUUGCCAUUCUUUGAAAAAACUAAAAAUAUAUGACAUCGGCACAUUCAAUUGUUUCCCUUCCAAAGUGUUGUAUUAGCAGUUGAGUUUCUUCUUUUUAUCACUAAAAAGCAAUGAGCCAAUUGGCCAUUUUCUGCAGGCUUGCAGGUGGUUUAGUGUGUAUUUCAAAGCCAGUCAGUGAGCUACUUAAGAGCAGCAAUAUUAUAAUAACGAUUCACUGAUGGGAAGGUAGCAACGGAGCUGAACUUCUUACAUUCCUCCGACGCUGCCUGAUUAUGACUUUACAGGAAUACAUUAUUACUUUAAUCAACCUCAUAAUCUUAAAGAUUUCACUCUGCAGUGUGAAAUCUGUUUUGUCGGUAACUUUAGCUUUUACUCACCUCCAACAGUCAUUCUAUUACAUUUUAAAACAAAGGCCGUGUACAUUGCCUGUGAUGUUUAUAAUCGCAGUGAUGCAUCACGGUCCAUCAUCCACAUGUGAUCACACCACUGUUUUAGUAUUUACAUCACCCCGUUGAAUGGGUUGAUUGUAUGACCUCGAUAAUAGAAAAGCAGAGGUUUGAUCAGAAACAUCCAGGGGUCGUUUUCUCCUUCUAUAAGUUCAACCUUGAUGCUUAAUGUGAGGAGAUCCUAGUAAAUCAUGACAACAGAGUCCAGUCAAGUUUAUUGGAUAAGAAAUGUAAGACUGCGAAAUUGGUGGAAGUGUUUCUGAGGGGCCGCUGACGCACUGUGUUUAAACCACAACCAAUCUCAGUGAAAUAUUAAAGAGACUUUUAAUAUCCAGAGGGUGUCGGCUGGAGCGAGAGGCAGUCAGCUGCUUCUGUACAACCAAAUGUUACAGUAUGAAACAGCGUUUAGAGACGCUAUUUGACAUGGUGGAAUGAGAUUAGAUGGAAUUCAUUUCUAAGUGAGGGGAAAUUACAAGCCUAUUGGCACCCCCCCCCACACACACACACACACACACACACACACAAGAAGCCUCCAGCUCACCCCCACUAGUGGCCCAACAACGGAGGGGCAGUCGGGCAUGAACAGUGACAUGAACAGGGAAUGACCCCGCGAACCACAUCCGCAGCCACCUUCAGUACGGCUUGUUCCAAAGGUCACAUCAGUGUGAGGCCGCACAAGCACAUGUCCGCUGCUCAGUGCAAACACUGCAGGACUCAUUGGGGAUUUGACAAUGGUUUGACUUCAUAAACAUGUACACAAAUAUGAAUUUAAAGAACAAUACUCGAGUCAACAAUGAACCAGGAGCAGUGAAGCGGUCCGUUAAAAGAAAGCGCCUUCUGUUCAAACCACAAGCGUUUUCCGUCCAUUGUUCCUAUGUUGCUGUGAGCAGAGAGAGAGAGGCCCUUCACAUUCUUAUCCCUUUUUACGCAUGUCUCCGAGCUUCCAGCACAUCAGGAUGACACCUCGUGAAAAAGGGGUAACCCCACCUUUGGCUCCUCCGGGAGAACAACACGUGUCAGCGGCCCCCCGCGGGCCCUGUCAGGGGGGUGAAGAGGUUAGGCGCUCUGUGCGGCCGCACAGAUCCCGGCCUUCUUGAAGACCACCAUAAUGACUGCUAAUUACGCUGCCAUCUGCGGGGUGGGCCGUGUUAUGUAGACACCUGUUCAUUAAGCAGGAGAAAGAAACUUUUCUCACAGCGGUGUAUUGCACACCAAACCAUUAGCUUUUCCGCCUCCACAAAUACAAAAGUGUAAACAUUCGGGAUUUAUUAUUAGGGUGAAUUAUUCUCAGCUCCCACUAAAACCUCCUAGCUACACAUUAACCCACCAACAGAUGUCAAUAAAACGUCCGAGCAUGUAGAAUUGAACUCCCCUCAAUCUAAUGAUUGAGUGAACUCUGCGUGAUACCUUUCUGGCUUCCAGAAGGCAUCGCCAAGGUUAACCCGGCCAUCGGGCAGCAUUAGUAGGAGGGUGUUUGGAGGGGAAGCCGAUAAAAAGCUCUCAGAUAUCUGCUGAGGGGGAGCACCGCCUGUCAAUUCUGUGGCCCUAAGAGGUGAUCUGCCAUUACCGACUCACACACGACUAAUGAGCCGCAUUCUCUCGCCAGCACCUUGAAUAAUAUGUCAAUACUCAUUCAGGCCGCGUCGAGUGCUACCUGUUUUACUUUCACUUGAUGCGAUACACAUCCUCCCUUUUUUCCCGGGAAGAUUUAACAUCUGGCAAACUGUCCAGGUGUCUAAUAAUGUCAUGAUAAUAAUUGAGAUUACCAGUGCUGAAGAGGCUCGAUGCUGAACUUUGAUACUGUGGAAGGUUUUAAAACUGUCUCCAGACACAUUCCUCUAAUCCCCAUCUUUCCGUUGAUGAUUUAUACAGACAAAUAAUUGCCAAGCAUCACAUUUUCCCACAUUUUGUCUGUUGAGCUUACGACUCCAUUUAGCUCGAGAUCCUCUGAGAGUGAGCCAGCACAGCGAUCAUACAGUGAGGCCCAAUUAGGAUGUUGACGGAUUGAUUUUGGAAGAUAAAUUUGGGAUGUAAAAGGUUGACAUAGCUGCUGUGUCUUUUUCACUGCGUGUGUGGAUCCCAAUUAAGUGAGGAAAGGCAGCUUUUCUUUUUUUUUUCGUCUCCAGGAUCAGAGUGUCUCCCUGACAGAUGAGCCCCUAAUGAGAGCAAAUCUCACUAAAUCCUCAAGAAACAUGAUAAAUUGAAUCAUGUUCACCCUGUUCAUUUGUCGUGUUCACAGAUGAGACAAAACGCAACAUUUAUCUAUUCAACAAAUAGCAAAUGAGUGGGUGGGUCCAUCAUUGUUCAUACAGUGUCUGUCUUCUUAAUGUUAUAUUAAACUGGGACUAAUCUGGCAAGGAUUUGUACGGUUAGUAAUGCUGUAUUUUGAUCAGACUUGUCUGACUUGAAACAGUGUGGAUGUUGAAAACAGACAUAUGUUACGUCCCGAGGCCUCAAUCUGCCUCCCUCCCUAUAUUUACGAGACAAAUUAAGGAGGCCAUCUCUCUCAUUAUCAAACUCUAAACCCUUGCCAUAUGUAUUGCUAUUAUUAGACAACCAGCAGAAGAUGUCCUAUUUUCAAAUUUAAAUUACCAAGUAUAACCUUAAUUGGUUAGAAACGUUGUUUAGUGGAUGGUAUCAAAGUCGGGCUUGGGAGAGAAUUCGACAGAUGGCUUAGUCUUAUGACUUAUAUUAACACCUUCGAAGUUUAAUGAACUGUUAAUUGCUUUUCUAAUACAUAAUGGGACCAUUGGAAUACGAGCGGUAAUGCAAACAGAUUAGUUUGCAGACAACAGAUAAACAACCGUCCUGUUCAAUGUCACCUUUAAGUACCUUGAAAACAAAAGCUGUAGGACAAAAAGAGAAAAGACCCAUUUUAGAAAUGAUGCAGAUAUUAUAAAACGCUACAAUAACUUCUUAAUUCAACAUAUAUAAGAGCAUGUGUAAUUAAAGUAUAGAAAAUAAUACUGAUUAAUGUGUGUGUCUAAAUUAAUCAUUAAUCAAUUAAAAAUGUCUUGUUAUGCAAAAGUACAACAUAAAAAAACCUUUAACAGCAUAACAAAACAUGAAUAAUUAAUUUAUUUGACUGUUGUAAUUGUUUACCUCUAGUUCACAUGUGAAUUUAAUGUGAAUCUUUGCAACUUUUCUAUGUGACCACAGUUGGUAGUUGCAGGGUAAUAAAACAUGCAAAAUCAAUAGCAGAGAUGAAGCCAUAACGUGGAAUAUGAGACUAAUAUUAGUCCAUCAUGAGUUUAUUUACAUUAGUUAUGGUCACACCGGAACAGUGCAUUGCAUUGAGAAUUGCUUGUUGCUUAACUUUAACUGAAUAAGACUUUUAUUUAAAUGUACCUGUAUCUUAUAUUAUGGUGUUUGUAAAAUCUAAAUUGGAUAAAAUUUUCCGGUAGCUGUUUUCUAAAUAUUGUACAGUUUGUUUACCACAUUUGGACCAUAUGACAGACGUCAGUAGUUAAGGUUUUUAUUUGGUUAUAAAAUGAAUGAAUUUCUUUCUCCUGAUGGUCCACAUUUGUGUUUCUGAGAUUGUUUUUGGAGAAAAGAAUCUCUCAGUCCCACUGAUAAAAUUGCACAACUCUAAAAUGUCCCCAUUCACUGCAGUUCUGUGUGUUUUAGCUGUGCUUGUAAUACGGUGUGUGCAUUGUACCUGAGCAACCAUAAAUGCACUGCUACCUCCAGGAGGCAGCGCUUUAUUAAAUUAAGCCGUCUUUAAGGUCAAUAUACUUCUGUAAUGAGUUGUCUCUUUUGAUCAUCAGAGGUUAAAUUGUACUUUGAUCCUCACUCCCUUUAACGGUGUUUGUGUCUCAGCUAAGCUAACACCAACCCAGAUUUUUUUUAGCUUACGUCAGCAUAAGUAAUGUUUUGCAUGGUUAAAACCUAUUUCCAUAACUAAGUGUAAUUUCCCUUCAGUUUGUUCCUGUUUAAUGAGGUGAAGUCUUGUUUGUUUGCCUCCCAAUGUCACCAGAGAAGUCAUUCAAGCGGCUUUGUCAGAAUUAAAUCAAAUUAGAAUUACCACACUGUCAUUUUACAUCAAACGUUACAUCAAAUGUGCUUUUCCUUUUUCUGCGUGGCUUUUACUUCCCUCAGAACACUUGGAGGGGCUCCUUGAUGGAAUGUGUAAAUGACUGGUCGGUGGUGUCGGUGUGGCGACGGCGGGGGGGUGAUGGCCGAGGAGAGGAAAUGACCAACAUUGAUUUAUCCUGGAUGUGCUCUUGUCUGGUUGGUGCCGUCAGAACACCUCGCUGCAUCCCAUUCCCUCCCAUUAUCUCCUCGCGAUCACCGCAGUCCAACGAGUUUCCUGCAGGGUCAUAAAUACUUCCCCCAGACCCCAUACUGCUUCCACAUCAUCCUCUAGACGCCGCCUAAUGACAGCGAAAGACAGACAAUGCAUCCUUUCUCUCGUGACCGCCGUGCCGCUCUCUGUUCGUGCACAUUUUACAGUGGCUGAAGAACGUAUACAUUCAGGAAGAGAGGCCAGCAGCACCGUGUUUCCCCCCCAGACUUUGCAUUUAAAAUGGUACAUUAAAGCAACAUGUCUGAAAAUAUUGCACAUGAUUGAUGUUGGUAAUGACAGUGUUUUCUCAGUGUGAAAGUCAUGGUUUUUUUUCUCUACAGUUAAGGUCCUAAAGAAAAGAAAAUGUCAGAGCCCCGAAACAGACAAAAAAGACGCCGCUGACAACCAUAACAGAGAAAUGCAUUCAAAGGCUUCCAACACUCCUUCGUGUGAAGGAGAUGUAUCAGAGACGAUGAAUCAAAUUCAUUAUUUAUUUUCGGUGGUCAUCCAAAUAUAUUAGAGAGCUGCACACAAUGACCCACUAGUCUUCUCUUCACAAAUCCACAUCAACAUCCUAUCAGGGAGACAUAUUUAUAAACCACUUCAGUCUAAAAUAAGAGAGUUCCAAAUGAUUCCCUUCUGCUAUGUGGCCGAGUCAAGUGGGAGGUCAAUUGCGUGAUUGUUUCUUUGAUCAUCUGUGUACAGUAGACCGCAAACAAGUUUCUUUUCAUCAACCAGUUUACAGGAAGAAGCAGCGCAUGAAAAUAAUUGUGAGUGACGUAACCUGAGAGUGCUGCCAGCGAGAUGUCCUGCAUCUUCAUUUCUGUUCUGGGUUUCAUGAAUUGUUCCAUUCCAUAGAUUAGUAAAUUGACACAUAAGCAUUUCACCAGCAAGAUGCCGACAUUGUUAGCCACAGUUUAGGGAUUAAACAUAUUCCAAUUAUUCCAGAAAGUUGCAAGCUAAGAUGAAUGUCAUAAAAAAAAUGUCAUAGUUAGAAAUACACCUAUAGGCAAAACAAAAAGGCCCUGUCAGAAACUUAACAAAAGUUUUAACACACCUUUAUUGUAACCCCCAGAUCGGGAGAUUUUAAUUCAAUUCCAUAAAAAAAGUUGUAUUCUGUAGUUAAUAAUGAAUUAAAAAGUGAUGAAGUACUUUACUAUUAGAAUCAUAUUACCAGGUUGUAAUUAAUGAUGAAACCAUAACAAACUUAUAGGUCAUAUAGGUGGGAAAAGGACUCACUAGAUGACCACACCUGCAGCAAAAUGUUGUACAAUAAUUACUAGAUCAGCUUGUGAAACACAGAAUUAAAGGAUUAACAAACCGCUCGUGACUAAAAAACACAGUGAAUAGGAUGAGUCCUGUUCACCAGCAUGUGGGAAAUGGUAAAAAAAAAAAGUCCUCUAAUGUGGUCAUCUCAAUUGAUUUUCAUUGCACCGGUCUUCAUUAAAAUGGCAUGAAUCCCAAACAGAAAUUUGGGUGUUAUCUUCUUAUCUAGUGAAGUGCUUUAUUCUGCACACCUUUCAAUCGUUUACAUGUUUGGGUGGAUGUACAUCCACUUACGUUGUCUAUGGUGAGUUUAUGGUGCAUGUUUCUAGAGAUAAACCGAUAUAAGUCAGCUUAUUCACACAACCCCACACUGGGUUUGGCAGACCAUAUUUAGGAACAGUCAGCUGGCAGAAUGAACCGGCCACCCACAGAUCCCGUGCAUUGUAAAGCUGCCACAUGCUCUAUUAGUCCCCGCUGUUUGAAUGUAUACAUUAAAGAUAGCAGAACAAAAUCAGACAGCGAGGCGCCCUCAGUGCCAUGAAAUCGGAACACGAUCGUCCUUUGGGCAAAUAUGAAUAUUCACAGCGCGCCUCAGUCUACGCCGUCAGAAGCCAUAGCACGUGAGCCAAUGCCGGCUUCGAUGUGAUGCUUCGAGUGACUCUUUAUCCACAGAGUUCUAGCACAUAUUGUAAACUGUAAUAUAUGACCUCGCGUUGAGCUUAUUCUUUGCGGGUUCCCGCAGACGAGCCGCGCACCCUGUAGGGACACGAGUGACUGAGCACUGCUCGAUUGAGUAAGCCUCCUAAUAGAAUGGCGUGUUUAGGCCUGUCAUUCAAUUCAAAGGAGAGAAGCGUCGUGUGAUGAGGAAGCUCGGUAAACGAGUAUAGCAGCAAUAAUGUCUACAGACCUGUGGUGUUUAGUUUGCUGUUAAGGAUGACAUUAGCAGAGGCAUGGACCCAGGGAUGCUGAUCAACCCUGAGGUCCUGUGCACAUGUGAUGGUGUUUCUGGCUCAUUUCCUGCACCAUAAUCAAAGCUUAUGUACCUUUGUUUGAGGUCGGAUAGGGGUCUGUGUGCUCAUAAUCUUUGAAAGCUUGUUAUCAUGUAACUGGCCUCAGCGAUAAGUAUUAGUUUCCUCUGCCUAUGUCAUUGUUCCUGUGUGUCUCUUUCUCUCUCAUCCUUCUCUCUCACAACCUCUAACGGACGUGGGAGGGAAUCAGCUAAUUGAGGAUGUAAACGGAACACCCAAAAUGUCUCUUACCUCAGCAGAAAAUCUAUCACGGGAGACAAUGUCAACUUUCACACGGGGGAGGGACAUAUUUUUUGAGUACAUUACAAGGGUGGCACUGCAAUCAGAAGGUGUGAUACCGACCCCCCCCCCUCCAAUCUGCUGCACCCAGCCUACCCAUUGCUACCGGGCGGAGGACUAUCUGAUGGGUUCCUCUUCGCUGGUCACUCAGCAGCGGUGGAGAUUCAGGGGAAAAAGGAGGGAGACAAGACGAGAGGGGCAGGAGUAACAAGGAGUGAGGUGAAGAGGAGAUUGUCGGGGGAGAAUAAAGUGGUCCGCCCAUUUGUUUAUGUGUGUGUGUGUGUGUGUGUGUGUGUGUGUGUGUGCCACAACACUCUCCCAAGCGACAGAAACCUUGUUGUGAUUUAUGCAGCCUGAGAUAUGAGUGCUGGUUACGCAGUAGCAAGACAUCGAUCUGACAAAGCAAAGCAAACAAUAAAGAGGCGAGGAAGAUGAUGUGCCCAGUGGGGCGGAGAAAUGGAGAGUGUACCUAUAAGAGCUAAUUAUCUGAGCACAUAAUUCUUCAGGUUAAGACAGGGGAGCCGAGAGCCAGCCAAGCCACAGCUGUCGGGGAAAAAGCCUCAGCUACAAAAUGGGCUCAAGGUCCCACACCUCGGUCAAGAAUAAUUCAAAGUUGAAUUGUAUAUCAGUGCAACUUGUCAAUAAGAUAGAUGUAGAUAAAAUGCGUAGGGCCUGGAUUCAUUCUGGGUGCAGCAAACUAUCCCUUAUGCCGCAAAAAGGAAAAAACACAACCUUUGCACGGUGUCAUAAACUGUGAUUCAAUUCAAGUUUUUGAGCAAAUGUUUGCAACAAAAGGCCACCGGGACUGAAUACGCCCCUCUAUUAAAAUGGGUAUAAAGGCAAUAGAUUACAGCAUUAUCGAAGCAAACAUUUUGUUUACAUUCAUGUCAAUCUCUGCAUUAAAAAAUGGUUUUUGAGCAACAUUUCUUUUGAACAUCUUCUUUGAACAUAGUGGAUGUGUUUGUCAUUUUUUGCAGUUUAUUCAGCAUCAACUUAAAUUCAAAGAAUCCUUUAGUUGGACUAAAUCUGCUAGUUGCAGUAGGCAGUCUGAAAAUUCACAGCCUUAUUCUUCUUCAGUUUCGGAGAUUAUAAGGUUUUGUUCAGAGGUUAUGUAAUAGCGACAGAUGACCUUAUUUUUGUAUUCAGAAAUCCAUUACAAACACUGCGCAAGUUCACCAUUCACAGUUCAAAUACAUUCUUCCAUCUUCAUGCCAUUUCACUAUAAGCCCUCAAAAUAAUAGUUGUAAUAUUCGCAAUAAUUAUUAUCUUGCAAACUCAUUCUCUGCUUCUGUAAGCAGCGAUCUUUUAAUUAGACACAACCACAUGUACACAAAGACUGGGGCGGUGGGUGCUCAGUGCCAUUAAUAACACUAUAUAAAAAGCAAAGCCAGACAGCCUCUGACACUUUUAGUAGUUUGGGAAACAAGAUGUAAUCUGCGUUUCGGUGCCAGGAGCGGACCGUAGCUGUGUGUGUGCGAGGAAAGAGGGAGUAUGGCUUGUAAGUCAACGCAAACAGAGCACUGUGAGUACAUCACUGAUGAAGACAUUAUCUGUGAGUUAUAAUCGCACAACGGACGGGUGGGAGAAGUGCAAAGGAACCAUGAGACAGAGAAAGUGACGGAGGAAAUGGGCAUUUGUUGUUGCCAAGGUCAGUCACUGAGGUACGUUAUUAGCGCUGUGUAUUAAAUUCACAAGUCAGUAUCAAUAAAAACUGUAGAAUUUACACACUGGAUUGUAUUUUUGUUUUGGUUCUAGUGUGUUCUUCCAUCCACUGCAUUCUGUUUUAUAUGGCAUUGAGUUGCAUCACGGCAUUUUGUUGUGGGCAUGAGAGGAUAGAGCAAACGAUUCGGUCCCAUUUAGUGGCACCCUUGGCACACAUCUAACCUUGGCAUGCUGCUGGACAUGCUCCAACAGCCCUGAACAUGCUGAGGUUUGAAUCCAGAAAUGCCUUUGUGCAGCGCCGGCCAUGGGAGGCACCAUUGAUAUAUCCCCAACUGUAUCGCAUCAGUCAAGACUCCAUAGCUAAUCCCACACAUCAGAUAACCAGUAAAUUUGCAAUAACCAGAUAGCAUAUGCUUAAAAAUGUGAAUCAUCUUCCAAAGUAUGUAGGCACAAUAUUAAAAGGUCAACAGCCAGUUUGCACAUUCAUUAAUAUUUUACCAGUUGGGAGAAUCUGUUACAGUAGGUUUAAGUCAUGCAAGGUCAAUUUGCGUCAUUGUUUCCUUGUUUGUGUGUUUGUUUGUUUAAUAUAAACCAUGAAUUCUAAUUCUGGCAGCACAGAAUGGCCACAUUAAGCAGGCAUGGCAGCCUGGGACGGGUUCCAGCUGGAAGCAUGCGCGGGAUGCUGCCUUCCCGUGACAACACUGCCUUCACUGGCAAAAGCUAAAUACUCUCUCCUUUCCAGAUAGUCAGUAGAAAAGGAGAGGUUAAAUCCGAUAUUUACAGCAUUAGUAAAUCUUUGGAGUCUCUUUUUUACUUGUGGUUUCUACCCCCUGAAUAGUUGUAAUUAUAUUGUGAUUUGUGGAUCUGCCUUAACAGGAUUUAUCUGUGCCAGAAUUAACUGAUAAGAUGAGAAGGGUUAUGUGCUAUAUUCCCACUGGAAUGUAAGAGACGUGAUCAUUUUCAAAUCUUACUUCACUAUUCAUCAUCUUUUCCCUCCUCCUUUUUUCAGCCAGGCUGGCUGGUUAGUUUGUUUAAUGGGUGUCUGAGCUGUGCUGUCUGCAGGAGGAAAUGUCUGAGUUCAGCUAAAGUGCAUCAGUGUGUGUGUGUGUGUGUGUGUGUGUGUGUGUGUGUGUGUGUCAGGUGGUCAGCCGCUGGUGAGUAUUAUUUAGUCAGCCAACUUCACUCUGACCUGGAAUGGUGAAGGGGACUCUCCACAACCCACAUACACGUGGCAAAAACAUGUCAGUUACACAACCGUAUGUGCAAAGACAGAUUGUGUCUGGUUCGGCUUUCUUUGUAAGAAAUGUUAGAUUCAAAAUGGUACAUUAAUCCAUGACAACGAAUCCUGAACGAAUUUCAUUGACACUAUGUUUGCGAAUUCCUUUCUACCCAUGAAGCCAAAUGAAGAUUAGAAACACGGGUGGCGGCAGUGUCACACGGCAGCGGUGCCAUAAAAACCUCCUUCCCCGCUGCCGUCUCCAGCACGCUGCAGAAGCGCGGCGCUAAUCUUUGGUCCGCUUGCCUUCAUUGGCCUUUACUGCGUGGAGCCACCUUUCUCUCACACUUUCAUCACAAUCCCAUUUGCCCCCACAGCCGGAGAGCCCCCUGUGAAACUCUACCCCUCGCUCCACCAUUCCGACGUCCCUAUGAUGGAUGGCCGCACCUUAGGUCCCCUCAGCCUGUCCAUCAAGCCGGGCGAUUAAAACACUUGGAAUGACCAACAUUUUUCUCUCCCUUUCCCCCCCCCUCAUUCAACCCCUUGUCCCCCAUGCCACCCCUCCACUCUCAGGCCACCACCACUGCAGCCCUCUGCCCCCCUCCCCAAUACUCCUCUCCCACUGCAACUGCCCCCCAGAACCCCACAAUCCAUCUUGAGGAGAAAAAACAUCAUUUAUUCUAUACUUCCCAGAUAAUUUACUUUUUCUCUCCCUCUUUCGUUCCCCUUUUUUCUUUUUCCCCUCCUUUCCACAGGAAUUCUCCAUUUCCCUAUAAAAUGAAAAUUCAUCUGGAAUUACAUCUUAUGUCAUCAUUAUGUUUAUUAAGCGUGGAUGAUGUAUAUGAGGAGCUGCGGCGUGCCGCUGAGUGCUUAAUGAUGCAUAAGAUUAAGCCGAGCCUCUCAGCUGUGCUGAGACUCCCCUCUGCUUCCCAGGCUGCAGACACACGCUGGGGGAACAGGCUCCAAACGGCCAUCAGGUGAACAGGGGAUAGGGAGAGCCUCCAUCCUCUUUGUGUGUCAGCAGAGAAGGAGGAAAAGAAGUGUGGAGUCGACGCAUAAGAGUUGCUGAGAGGGGAGGAUCAGAGAGUUGGCAGCGACUUUGGAGAAAGAAAAAAGAAACGUUUUUUAGUAUCGGUUUGUUGGGUGCCGUCAAAGGGAACGUCUGAAAGUCUGUCCACACGUUGUAACUAGUACAGUCAUUUUCUGUAAUAAUCACCAGCUUCUCUCUGUUGCUUUCCUCCUACAAAGUCCCACAACUCCAAAAGGACACACAUGUAUACCUCUCUGAUCUUCGCAUAACUUUUGAUCUUAGUUCACACACACAUACACACAUGCACACACAUGCACGCACAUGCACGCACGUGCACAAGAAGAUUUGUUCCCGGCCUCCCUGUAGCCCAACAGCAGAAGCACCAGCAGUCUAUGACAAAAACAUUAUCCUUCUGGUGCUAAACAAUCCAAUAAACCUCUCCACGGGGAAGAACUUAACCUCUCCUCUCCUCUGAUGUUGACUUCCAGACCACGUGACUGCUGCCACAGUAAAUUCAAAUCAUUAGUCUUCUCACUCGGCCAAACGCACAGGGAAGGAGAAAAAAAAUCUGCCUCUAUUAGUAAUGGAGACCUCGUCGGAGACCUUCCUCCGAGAGCCCUGCCUUCCCAAUUCCCACAGGAAAAAUCCCAAGCAAAAAACUAAUUCUACUUUUAAUAAUCUGUCAUCAGGACCAGAGGCAGUCAUAAAUUAUGUGGGGAGCAUGUGCGGCAGCGGGCCACGAGAGGGAACUCAGGGGGAGAAAUCAAAGGCUGAGUUUGACAAACUUUGCUGAGGAUAAAUAAUAACUUACAAACAGGAUUAGUUGUUAAGUCGUGGUUGAGUGACCCGCCAAGCAGUUUUCCUCUAUGCAGGAU